rnacentral:rRNA from 1 species
UGGGGAAUAUUGCACAAUGGGCGAAAGCCUGAUGCAGCAACGCCGCGUGAGUGAUGAAGGCCUUCGGGUUGUAAAGCUCUGUCUUUUGGGACGAUAAUGACGGUACCAAAGGAGGAAGCCACGGCUAACUACGUGCCAGCAGCCGCGGUAAUACGUAGGUGGCAAGCGUUGUCCGGAUUUACUGGGCGUAAAGGAUGCGUAGGCGGAUUUUUAAGUGAGAUGUGAAAACCCUAAGCUUAACUUGGGGACUGCAUUUCAUACUGGAAAUCUAGAGUGCGGGAGAGGAGAAUGGAAUUCCUAGUGUAGCGGUGAAAUGCGUAGAGAUUAGGAAGAACACCAGUGGCGAAGGCGAUUCUCUGGACCGUAACUGACGCUGAGGCAUGAAAGCGUGGGUAGCAAAACAGGAUUAGAUACCCUGGUAGUCCACGCCGUAAACGAUGAGUACUAGGUGUAGGAGGUAUCGACCCCUUCUGUGCCGCAGUUAACACAAUAAGUACUCCGCCUGGGAAGUACGAUCGCAAGAUUAAAAACUC